UACGAAGGGGGCUAGCGUUGUUCGGAAUUACUGGGCGUAAAGCGUGCGCAGGCGGUCUUCCAAGUCAGUGGUGAAAGCCCGGAGCUCAACUCCGGAACUGCCAUUGAAACUGUGAGACUCGAGUACGAGAGAGGUGAGUGGAAUUCCCAGUGUAGAGGUGAAAUUCGUAGAUAUUGGGAAGAACACCGGUGGCGAAGGCGGCUCACUGGCUCGUAACUGACGCUCAGGCACGAAAGCGUGGGGAUCAAACAGG
rnacentral:rRNA from 1 species